UACGUAGGGUGCGAGCGUUGUCCGGAAUUAUUGGGCGUAAAGAGCUCGUAGGCGGUGUGUCGCGUCGGCCGUGAAAACCUGCAGCUUAACUGUGGGCUUGCGGUCGAUACGGGCAUCACUGGAGUUCGGCAGGGGAGACUGGAAUUCCUGGUGUAGCGGUGAAAUGCGCAGAUACUCAGGAGGAACACCGGUGGCGAAGGCGGGUCUCUGGGCCGAUACUGACGCUGAGGAGCGAAAGCGUGGGGAGCGAACAGG
rnacentral:rRNA from 1 species